AUGGCGGGCUGUGUGGCCCGACGGGCCCUGGCCGUGGGCAGCCGCUGGUGGUCCCGCUCGCUAACCGGGGCCCGGGGGCCGAGGCCUCUCUGUGCGGCGGGUGGAGCUGGGGCCUUCCCACCAGCGGCGACCACGACGACGCGGAGGCACCUCUCGUCCCGGUGAGGGACGGAGCGCGGGGGCCGUACGUGGAACCCAGGGAGCGUGUUCUCGGUCAGCGAGGAGGCAGGAGGCCGGGCCGGCAGAGGGUGAUUGGAGUUCGACUUGGGAGAGGGUCCCGGCCGGGAGCCGACCUGCCCUGGCUGGGAUGUGUGCCAGGAACAGAGAAGGGAGCGCGGCCCAGAGCCCUGGGUUGCGCAGGGCUGGCUCUGAAGGGGAGCUAGCAACCCUCCCGGAACGAAUCCUACCUCCCCAAAUGGGGAUCCCGAGCGCUGUUGUUAAUGGGCAGCCCUUUAAUGAAGCCCUAGGGCUUUUGACUUGAACCCCCAGCCCCGGAUUGGGACAAGGCCUCCCAAAGAAAGAUGCUCGAAGUGGGAAGCAGGACUCUUGAGUGUGGGCCCUGCGUGGGUUCCAGGUUUCAGCCUGACCUUGGGGAAACUGGUUCUUUCUGUGUGACUUGGGGAGGGGGUUCGGAGGCCAUGGGGGUGAUGUGAACAUUGUCUCUAGCCAUGGGACAGGCAGAUCACAUUGGGGCUGGAGGAUCAAGUGAGAGGAAGCAUAAGGUUCACAUCUCCAAAAUACUAAGAAUAGCAGACCUUUGAAGGACCCCUAGAAAGAGCAGCCCUGUCCAGAGAGGUCACAGAACACUGACCUUUUAGUGGCUGAGAUUAGACCCUGGUAUUGGGGAGAGAUGAUCACUAUUUGCAGUUUAAGACCCCUGUGAAAUUUGAUGUAAAUCCGAACAAAAACCAGAUUUAGAGACUACUAAGUGCAGUGCAGGGAGCAUGGCAGGACAUCUGGAGAUGAUGCCCUCCAAGGGCAGGGUGAAGGCUGCAGUAUAGGGGGAUAGAUAGAGAUGGAAUAAUUACAGAACAAAUAUUUUUUGAGCACCUCAUAUACACUAGGCUCUGAGGGGAAACACAGACUAAUCAGACAUAGGCAUUGCUCCCAGGGAACCUACAGUCUCUAGUGGAGAUAAGACACGGGCACAAAUAACAGAAAUGGAAGGUGGGAAGGUCGGUUAAAAUGCUGUGGGAGGUCAGGAGGGUGGGUCAGGGAAGAAACAGAGGCAAGGGAUACAAAUAAUGGUGGGAGGGCAUGAUAUGAGGAAGGCAGAGAGAGAAGAAAGGGUCUGGGUGCAGUCAGACCUAACACAGAAACUGAGGCAGGACCUAAAAGAGGGAAAGGCAGAAUUUGGAGUGGUGGUUUGGCAGGACCCUUACCUGCUUCACCUGCCCCUCUGCCUGGCCCCUCUGUAAGUACCCUGGUAGCUUUUUCUGUUGCUGUAGGUACCAUUACCUUCUCAGCUCUUCAGCUGCUUGUUCUUUUCCAUCCUAAUCAGAAACCGACCAGAGGGCAAAGUUUUGGAGACAGUUGGUGUGUUUGAGGUGCCAAAACAGAAUGGAAAAUAUGAGACUGGGCAGGUGAGUGCCGAGCUGGGUCAUCUUUCAUUUUCGAGGUGCGCCCUGUUUCUGAAAGCAUCAGCUUUGGUCAUAGACCCAGCUGUUAACAGUUUUCCGCCUUGGUGUCUAGUGCCAGAUCGGAAUCACAAAUUCGAGAUGGGGUUUCUGUUUUCCUGGAUUUGAAUCCAUUUCACGUGUCACUGGGUUCCCUUUCCAAGUUAGCAUGGACAGAGGUAAUGUGGGCCACAGCGAGGAAAGAGCCAGGUUGUUGAAGAGUCCUGUAAUAUAGUGGAUGGUGGGAAGCCCGUGGAGGGAGCUUUUAGGAAAGGAAACUUUUGAUGCUUCGUCAUAGUUGAAUUGAUUGCAGUGUCAUAUAAGCUGUGGGUGUGAGGCUCUUGUUUUUGUAUCAGCUUUGUGCCAGAUCCACUGAGAUAGAUUGAGACCCCUUGUAAGUCAGGACUUUUUUUUUUUUUUUUUUAAUUCAACUCCUCGUCCCCACCCUCCCACCCCCUUUUUUUGGUUUGCCUGCAGUGGACCGGGUGUGUAUAGGAGUUGAAUCAGAAAGCAAUACCUUUGUGGAGUUGGCAGUCUAGAGACAAACUAUGAUGGGGUUGGUGGCCAAGCACUGUGCUAAGUGGAGGGGAGGUCAGGGAAGUCUUCCUAGAGAUUUAAGCUACAGCCUGAAGGAUCAGCAGAAGUCAGCCAGGUGAAGAGGGGGCGGGGGAUAAGAGUGUCCUGAAGCUGGUGAGGGGUGGGUCACAGAGUUUAAGAGAAAGACUGGCAAGACAUCUGGUGUUGCGGCUACCUGUGCUGCUUAGCGGUCUGGGUCCCACCUGCAAGGACUUGGGGACUGCACGCUCACGGAGACCUCUCUUCCCUCCUAGCUCUUUCUUCAUAGUGUUUUUGGCUACCGAGGUGUCGUCCUGUUUCCCUGGCAGGCCCGACUCUAUGACCGGGAUGUGGCUUCUGCGGCUCCCGAGAAGUAAGUACCCCUGUCAUUGUGCCUCAUGGUACCCUUAGGAGGAGGCCUGAGUCAUGGCCGACAUACGUAAUUGGGGUCCCAGGGGUGAAUCCAAUAUCCUCCUGGGCCAUCGGAACAGUCCCAGAGUACUUCCUGGACACCAUGGAGACAAAAGUGCUGAGUGCCAGGGACAGUCUUAUGCCAGAGGGUCCCUUUAGGCCCUCCCAGGAUGCUUUCCCAAGCUGUUCUCUGUUUGCAUUAUAAGUAGCCCAGAAGGCAUUUGAGGGACUGAUUUUCUUGAUUUCUUGGCAUUCAGUUAGAAUCUUUCAAUCUCUUUUCCCUGGAAUACAUUAAAACAGAAAAGGCCCAGCUCCAUUAAGUCAUCAGAGACAGCCCCAGGGAUGCGAGAAGAGCGGGGUACCUGGGGCUCCAGGAUUGGAAGGAGGCAGCAAUUUGAAUUUUUCAACAUGGCCCCUUUCCAAGGAGUAGCCAGAGAGUAAGACAAAUGGUGACUCUGCACAGUGGGUCCCCCGUGUUCCUCUGUUACCCCCGGCUGGGCCGGGGUGUUGCUGUGCCGGUACCUGGCUUAUGCCAAAGCCCCUUCCGGUCAGGCACUAGUCUGUUGAGGUGAGGAGGUAGGGAGCUAGGGCAGGCACUGCUUCUCUUUCUCUUGGGGUGAUCUUAGGCUUCUUCCCCUACCCUACCCUACAGAGCAGAGAAUCCUGCUGGCCAUGGCUCUAAGGAGGUGAAAGGCAAAACUCACACUUACUAUCAGGUGCUGAUUGAUGCCCGAGAUUGUCCACAUAUAGUAAGUAAGCAAGAUGGCUGGGCUGGGGGUUUCUCUCCAUGGGAAAGGCCUGAGCCCGAUGGGGACAGAGGGAGGGAGAAGGGUCAAAUAGAGCCCAGAUCAGCACUGGGCCCUGAGUUCUCAGGACUGGAUAGCGACUAAGAAAAUCUCUGACUCGCUUCUUGCCCUAGUCUCAGAGAUCUCAGACAGAAGCUGUGACUUUCUUGGCUAACCAUGAUGACAGCCGGGCCCUCUAUGCCAUCCCAGGUGAGUAGUGAGCAUCUGAAUGUGCCCGUCGAUGAGAGGUCUGGUGUCUCUCAGCGAGAAGAUGCCGAUGCCUUUCUGACGUCCUUUAAUCUACUGGGAGGGAUUAUGGUGGCUGAGAGUGCUGGUGCCAGGCUUGUCCCACCUUGAGACAAGGCCAGGAAUUGUGUUUCUUCCCAGCCUUGUUCCUCCCCUUUCCUCUGUGAGUUUCACCGUCUCUUUUCUCUCUCUGUGCCAGGCUUGGAUUAUGUCAGCCAUGAAGACAUCCUCCCCUACACCUCCACUGAUCAGGUUCCCAUCCAGCAUGAGCUGUUUGAAAGAUUUCUUCUGUAUGACCAGACAAAAGGUGAUCUCUCUCAAGAAAAGAAGCUGUAAUGGAAGGGCCCUUUCUUCAAAGACAGUAGCAUAGAAGUAACUUCAAAGCUGUAUACCCACAACCUUAUUCAGCCUCCCAUUAGCAUACCAAGUCAGGUGGAUGAUUGUUGUCUCUGCCUAACAGAUAUGGAAACUGAGGCUCAGGUGAUAAGAAGGGAAUCAAGGUUGCUAGUUAGAGGCAAGGUCAUGGUUGCAGCAGGGUCUGAAAACUUGGGCUCCUCACUCCCAGCCCAUUUCUCUUCCCACCAUGUCACAGACCUCCGGGCUUAUUCCUGGCAGCUCUGGGCCUUUUUCCAUCCCGUGCUUUUGUUUUAUGUUUGGGUGCCUUAUUUGGCUGGGUCAGAAUUGGGAAGAGUUUUCUAGGAGGGGCAGUUGGAGAAUGAGUGCAACACCCGGGACUCUGGCCUGGACCAACCAGUUAUAUCUUGCCCCAGCACCCCCUUUUGUGGCUCGGGAGACGCUACGGGCCUGGCAGGAGAAGAAUCACCCCUGGCUGGAACUCUCUGAUGUCCACCGGGAAACAACUGAGAACAUUCGUGUCACAGUCAUCCCCUUCUACAUGGGCAUGAGGGUAUGUAUGUGCCUGGCCUGGGCCCCAUCCCUCAGGGAUAGGCCCCGGUUGCCUGUGGUGCCCCCGUGUGACUGACGGAGAGUGGGUUCUGCUUCCAAGUGCUGCACACAUUAGAUCAACACUAAGACCUAGAGCAGGGAGACACUCAGGUUCUGGGAAGGAGUCCUCCAGGCUAACUUUCCUUCUCUUCUGGUUCAAAGGGCAUCCCGUGUAUGUGUGUAUGCAGAAUACAUAUGUGCGUGUUUAAAUCAGCAGAGGCUGAUCUUCACACAUUGUAUGUAGUAGAUAUUUAUUGGGUUAUUUCUUGCCUGGUUGUGAGCCUCAAAAAGAAAUGAAACACUGGCCCUGCCUUCCAGGAGGAGCUCCUGGUAGUGGGAGAGGCCAGCAUAGAGCAUAUUGGGUAUCGUAACGCUGUUGGGCUACGGAAGGGCAGAGGGGGGCAGUGGCCUGGGCCAGCAGUGGCUGUAGGGGCUGGGGCAGCAGCUGGAAGACCGGAGAGAAGGGAAGGGCCUUGUGGCUGAUUUCCGUUGGCAUCCAGCUCCGCUGGUGAUCUUGAUAGAAUGAGGAGGAGGGAGGCCAGAGAUCGGUCCAGGGGAAGCGGCCUCCAUUUGGGCUUGUUGGCCGUAGUUCAGCGAUCACCCCACAGACAUUUGCAGCAUUGUUCUGCCUCCGUAACCUUCCGGGAACACGUCUACUCAGUUGGAGAGAUGUUGAUUGGAACGGACUUGGUCCUGCCCUCUGGGACUUAAUUUUUUUUUUCCCCCCCCAGGAAGCCCAGAAUUCCCAUGUCUACUGGGUGAGUGUUUCCCUGUGGGAGGAGAGAAGCUCAGGAGUUGUGCCCGGUGUGGGGGGCAGGGGGAGGUGGGGAGUUUGCCUCCGGGGGAUACGGCUGUGUGCUGCAGGUGUCACUUUUUGUUGCCUUUUGCUCUCCUGGAAUUCUGGGGGGACUGGCCCAAGGUCUGUUCUUUCUCAGAUGUGAACUCUCGCCUCUGCCCCCACAGUGGCGCUACUGUAUCCGCUUAGAGAACCUCGACAGCGACGUGGUGCAGCUUCGGGAGCGACACUGGAGGAUAUUCAGUUUGUCCGGCACCCUGGAGACAGUGCGAGGCCGAGGGGUGGUGGGCAGGGUGAGCAUCAUCAGGCCGGUAAUGCCCGGUUCGUGGUCCUGCCCGGCAGGCCUGGGGGCUGAGUGCACGCUGUCCUGUUCUGUGGCUAGGGACCAGAGGCUUUGUGUGUGAGCGCAUUGGGCUGCUUUGGAUGAAACCUUACAACGACCCUGGGAGAUAGGUUUCUUACAGCCUGUCCCACAGAUGAAGGGACAGCGAAGCUAACUAAAUAGCCCACAGUCCUGUGGCUAGUAGUAGCGGGACCUGGAUUUGAAUCCAAGUGAGUCUGACGUCGAAGUUUGUGUAGAGUUCUUGUUGCCAGCACGGAGCCUUACUAAAAAUAUGAAUUUGAGCGCCCUUAGCUGGGGCUCCCCCCCCACCCCACCCCGUCCCCAACCACUACUCCUGGUUGUCCUUCCUCUGCCUCCUUACAUGCCUGCAUCCUCUUUUGGCCCAUGAGAUCUGAUUUUGCAAACCGUGCAUUACCCCACCCUGUCUCCUGAGAAAUAAGGCACAAGAAAUAGCCAGGGGCCACAUGUAACAUGCAUUUAUCCAAGUCAGUAGGGACUUGGGAGGCAGGGUGGGAUACUGAGUAAGAACAGCGCUUUGGAGUUAGAUGGUCUGAAUGCCAGCUGUGUGUGGUUUACUCCUCACAUAACUUUGGGCCAGUUAUUUAACUGGAAAUCUCAGUUUUUUCCUGCUAAAAUGGGGAUCACACCUAUUACCUCCUAAUUGUUAGCAGAUUUAAGUCAGCAGAGGUUGGCAGAGCACAUGGUGCCUGGCUCUUGGGCACUCAGUGAAUGGGCGCUGGAAGGGGUAUUUACAGAGUAGGUCCUGUGCCUGUGAUCUUUGCCCAGGGCCCACAGACGUUCGGUCUGAGUUUCUCUUUCCCAGAAUCCGAAUUAAAGGCCGGGGUCAGUGGCCGUGCUGUGGGAGGAGGUAGUGGCAGGCAGUCAUUGUGGGAAGCAUGAGGGGGCAUCCAGUCCUGAUGAACAGUCAGCACGUGGCCCCCGGGGUACAGGAGCUUGUCUGGCCUUACCUAUCUUGUCCACACCCUUACAGGAGCCAGUGCUAUCCAAGGAGCAGCCUGCGUUCCAGUACAGCAGCCACGUCUCCCUGCAAGCUUCCAGCGGGCACAUGUGGUAAGUACGUGCCGGGACGGGGCACCGAGACUCCACAGACACAGCUGCAGGUCAGAAAAGUGAGAGCUCAGUUUGCGGUGAAUUCUGGGCCAGGUUACGUCUUGCGGUGGAGACUUCUCUGCUGUUCAUUGUUGUGUGGGACUUCUUUGAUUUUUUUUUUUUUUUUUUUAGAGAGAGAGGCACGACCCGACCCGGGGAGAGAGAGGGAGGGGGGAAGGAGGGAGGGAGGGAGGGAGGGAGAGAGAGAGAGAGAGAGAGAGAGAGAGACACUCUUAAGCAGACUCCAUGCUCAGCACGGAGCCCAACUCGGGGCUCAGUCCCACGACUCUGGGAUCAUGACCUGGGCCGAAAUCAAGAGUUGGACACUCAACCAAUUGAGCCACCCAGGUGCCCUCCAUGUCUGAUUUUUUAUAACUACCUGUGUUCUAGUUUCCCUGUGAUUUUGUGGACUGAGGACUUGGGCCGAAGAGGUCUGGUGCUCAUGUAGUUGGUUCUUUCCCUGGGUGGUUCACUCCUUAACCUGGAAGUAGAGUUGGGUAGCUCACGCAGUGUGCAUCUGAGGGCCAGAAUCAGGGCAGCUGUAUCUUUUCUCAUGUAGGGCCAGGAAGGGCCCUUGGGUUUCUGGACCAGUGUGAUCCUGACACGGACCAGGCAGAAGAGAGCCCAGGCCUGCCUCAUCCUGCUGUGUUCAGUUCUGGAGCUGAGGGCAUAGGGCUCUCCAGAUCCUUAGGGGGGGGGCCUCAGCCUUCGCUCCUUCUAACCCAGGUGCUCUCUGACCACAGGGGCACGUUCCGCUUCGAGAGGCCUGAUGGCUCCCACUUUGAUGUCCGGAUCCCUCCCUUCUCUCUGGAAAGCAAUAAAGAUGAGAAGACACCACCCUCAGGCCUUCACUGGUAGGCCAGCUGACGCCCGAGUGCCUAGGCUCGGCCCCUGAAGAACAGCUCUGGUCCCACAAUUGCUGCAGAACUCUCUCUUUACCAUGGGCCACAGUGGGUCUGUCUGUCGUUUGCACCAUUUGAUCGUGGGCUUUUUUGGUGGGUGGGUAUAAUUUUCUCCGGAAGACCCGUGUAGGACUCCUCUGAGGCUGGCUUCCCCUGGCUACACUGUGUUCCAGUAAACCUUUCCACCAGGAAUUCUGUGUUCGGCUGCCACAGGGCCUGGGGUUUCCUGGCCUGUCACACGAGUUGUUUGAGACAUGAGGUUUGGUCAAUAAACCAGUGCACACUUGGCCACCCUCGCCAUUUCUGCCCCCAGGGGUCUCAGGCUCCCUUUUUGAUGCCCUGGGGGCCUUUGGUUGCUUUCCUUGCUGCCCUUCCAGGAAGCUGCCCCAUCUACUAGAGUAUGGAUGGGUUUCCCUCCCGAAGCUGGGGGUUGGCUGGAUGUUUCCCAGGGUCGCGGUGCCCCAGCCAGCAGGGUGGGGGCUAGACUGGACUCCCCUUCUUUAUCCUGCCAAGUGCAGAGCAGGAGGCCAACAUCGGGCUCAAGCUCUCAGCACUGGCCAGCCAUGGACAUCGCUGGCUUCCCUGAGCCUGGGAAGGAGGGCAGCAAGCCACAUGAGUUCCCGGGAAUAACAGGCUUGCCAGAUGAGCACGCGUCUCUCAGGCCUCCAGCCCACCCAUGCAGAAACUCAGCGAGGAGCUUUAGGUACGUAUGGACGGUGACUGAGCCAAGCUACUUUCUGAGCUGCUUGCUCACACAUCUCCAAGAGCCAGAGAAGAAAUGUGCUGCAUUUUCCCCUGAAUCUUAGGAUUCCUGCUUCCCUCCUACCGUAGUGAUUGUCAAAGAGGUUGUUUAUUCUUGAAUUAAUAUUAAAUCUCAGUUCCAGCCCUUACUAGUGUUGUCCUUAAUCCUCCACCAGGGGGAGCCAGGGUUGCAGGGCCACGGAGUGCAAUAGGAUUGUGACGCAGGGAAAACACAAGGUGGUGAACAGAAACACGAGAACCAGGGCCAUAGCACUGCGCUGACCCAGCUAUAACCACCGUGAGCACAGUUGCGGGCCACUGCAGCGUAACACAAUUUUAUUAGAAAUUAGUGUUUGUUUCCAUCACCUAGGCUGAGCAACAAAGAAUUGCAGUUAUGUGACAAAGAAGUUCU
rnacentral:lncRNA from 1 species